rnacentral:rRNA from 1 species
AUGGUGAUUCUCAAGUUUCUCUGCGUCGUCCCUAGGCAGUACAAGCAACUGGCCUGGUCCAUCGAGAGUUUGGUUGAUCUCUCCACCAUGACGAUCGAGGAGCUAGUAGGGCGGCUGAAGGUCGUCGAGGAGCGCGGCAACGACGCCAACAACCAUGCUGGCGGCGAACUGCUGCUCACCAGGGAGCAGUGGGACGCGCAGCUUCAGCAGCGCGGCCGCGACGGCUCUUCCGGCAGUGGGGGAGGCGCCCCCACGGGAAGCAGAGGUCGCGGCAGAGGCGGAGGCCGCGCCCAGAGCGGUGGCGGCAACCGCGGUCGCAGGCCAAGCCAGGCAGGGCGAGGCGCUGGCAACGGUGGCAAGUGCCGCUACUGCAACAUGCCGGGUCACUGGAUCCGGCAUUGCCACAAGAGGAAAGCCGACGAGGCAACCGCGGCAACGGCAAACCUCGUCCAGGCUGAUGUGGACGGCGGGCCGGCAAUGAUGUUGGCAAGAGUCGAGCCCGUGCAGGAGAGCUCAGCAUCUCCCGCGACCACGGCCCCGACAACCACCCAUUCCAUGCAAGAGGCACGGAGCCCGUCCAUGGGAACCAUCACUCAAGUGACAGGCCACACCUCGACAACUACGUUCUCGGGGCCUGUUGACUGGGAGGCGAUGAAGGCCCGGGUGUGGGGGAGCCACACCCCGGCGACGGCGUCCCCGACAACCUCGGGAUCCAACAAGGUCGCGCGAGUUGGUGUGGCAAUGACGCAUAUGGCGGACCAUGCUCCGACCAUGAUGCUGGCGACCAUCGACUCCGUGCAGGAUCGCAUGGAGACUCAGGUCAUCCACACCCUAACGCCGAAGUGUUCGGGGUCCACCAUGAUGAUGGGAGAUGGCUCCCCGACAACGGUGUGUGCGUGCGGCUAUGUCUUCCUCAACGAGGAGAGAGCCGUGACCACACCCACGCUUGCAGGUGGAAAGCAAAGUGAGGGUUGGUUCCUCGACACCGGCGCCACGAACCACAUGACUGGUUCGGUCGACGCGUUCGCGGAGCUGGACCGCUUAAUCACUGGGAAGGUGCGGUUCGCGGACGGAUCCAUGGUGGAGAUCCAUGGGCGCGAGACCGUCGUCUUCGCCAACAAAGGGGGUGAUCACAGGGCGUUCACGGAUGUCUACUUCAUCCCAGCGCUCAAGAGCAGCGUCAUGAGUGUCGGACAGCUCGAUGAGGGCUGGUUCGACAUCGGCAUCCGGCGUGGUGUUCUCACCGUGUGCGACCAGCAGAAGAGGCUUCUUAUCGAGGUAACCCGCUCGCCAAACCGCCUCUAUAAAUUCUUCUUUCAACCCGUGCAUCCUGUGUGCCUUGCCAUGGGUCAUGUCUCCGACGCGUGGCGUUGGCAUGCCAGGCUAGGACACCAGCACUUUGACGGGUUGCGGAAGAUGGCGCGAGGCAACCUCGUUCAUGGGCUACCUCACAUCAAGCACGCCGACGAGUUGUGCGAUGCGUGUCUUGCCGGGAAGCAGCGGCGCCUGCCCUUUCCCGAGAAGGAACGCUAUCGGGCGCAUAAACCCCUGGAGCUGGUUCAUGGGGACCUCUACGGCCCAAUCACCCCGGCAACGCCAGGAGGGCGUCGCUACAUCCUCCUUCUCAUCGACGACUACAGCAGGUUCAUGUGGGUGCUGCUCCUCACCUCCAAGGAUGAGGCGGAGCGAGCCAUCGUCAAGCAGCAAGCGGCAGCAGAGGUCGAGUGUGGCCACAAGCUGCGCGUGCUGCGCACGGACCGUGGCGGCGAGUUCAAACCGGCCACGUUCUACAAGCACUGCGACGAGAAAGGGGUGCAACGUCACCUCAUAGCCCCUUACUCGCCGCAGCAGAACGGCGUCGUCGAGCGGAGGAACCAGACAGUGCUUGGGAUGGCACGCUGCAUGCUCAAGGCAAAGCAGGUGCCGAGCACGUAUUGGGGGGAGGCCAUGCUCACGGCCGUCUUCAUCCUCAACCGCUCCUUCACAAGGAGCAUCGACGGAAAGACGCCUUACGAGGCGUGGUAUGGGAGGAAGCCAGAUGUACGCUUCCUCCGUACCUUUGGCUGCGUCGGGCACGUCAAGAUGACGCGCCCACAGCUGAAGAAGCUCGACGACAGGAGCACCCCAAUGGUGUUCAUGGGCUACGAGAUGGGCUCUAAGGCGUACAAGAUGUAUGACCCUGUCUCAAAGCGUGUGCAUGUCUCUCGUGACGUCAUCUUCGACGAAGACGCGCGAUGGACUUGGGAGGCGUCGGGGGAGGCCCCGGCAAGCAGUUCCUUCACUGUGGAGUACCCGAUGUACUCUACAACCCCGGGAAGCAAGACCCCGGGAAGUACCACCCCGGGAAGCUCGGGAGGUGUGGAUCUGGGAACAGCGACCCCGAGAACACUGUCCCCGGGUACGGUGUCGCCGGACACCACGACGUCAAGCAACAUGGGUCCUGGGAGGCAGUUCGCAACCCCGCCAACGGCGAGGUCGGAGCUAUUCGACGCCGACGACAGCGUAGGCGCCCCCCAUAGGUUUCGGCGCAUGGGAGAUCUCCUCGGCGAAGCUGCGGCAACACCGCAACAGCCCGAGGAUGAGGACGCUGAUGACGACGAGGUCUUGCAUCUGAUGGCCGGCGAGGAGCCGACCACAUUCGUGGAGGCCGAGCAAGAGGAUUGCUGGCGCCACGCGAUGUUGGACGAGCUGGCGUCGAUCAACGACAACGCCACUUGGACACUCACCACACUACCUGCUGGGCACCGAGCCAUCGGGCUCAAGUGGGUGUUCAAGGUGAAGAAGGACGAGCACGGUGCCAUUGUCAAGCACAAGGUGCGCCUCAUCGCAAAGGGCUACGUGCAGCGUGAGGGAGUGGACUUCGAGGAAGUCUUCGCUCCGGUGGCAAGGCUGGAGUCGGUGCGGCUCAUCCUUGCCGUGGCCGCUCACCGCGGGUGGGAGGUACACCACAUGGACAUCAAGUCGGCGUUUCUCAACGACGACCUUAACGAGGAGGUGUACGUCUCCCAACCACCCGGGUUCGUUGCCAAGGGCCACGAGCAGGGCGUGUAUCGACUACACAAGGCCCUGUAUGGUCUCCGGCAAGCCCCAAGGGCGUGGAACGCCAAGCUCGAUGCAAGCCUCGCAUCCCUUGGGUUCUCACGCAGCGCUUCUGAGCAUGGUGUGUACUCGCGUGGCACCGCGAACACGCUGCUCAUCGUCGGCAUCUACGUCGACGACUUGGUCAUUACCGGGGCAGAGCCUAAAGAGGUUCAACGCUUCAAGGGAGAGAUGCAUCGUCUCUUCAGCAUGAGCGACCUUGGGCUGCUCCGUUACUACCUCGGGCUGGAGGUGAACCAGGAGGGUGGUCGCAUCACGAUCACGCAGACGGCCUACGCCACCAAGAUGCUCGAGCGAGCAGGCAUGAAGGACUGCUAUGCUGUGCAUGCUCCAAUGGAGGCACGGCUGAAGCUCAGCAAGGAGAGCCGCGAGAAGGCGGUGGAUGCCACACUCUACCGUAGCAUCAUCGGGAGUCUCAGGUACCUCGUGCACACCCGACCGGACAUCACGUUCGUUGUCGGAUACCUGAGUAGGUUCAUGGAAGCUCCGGCAAGCGAUCACCUGGCUGCCGUCAAGCACCUGCUCUGGUACAUCGCGGGUACGCUCACGCAUGGAUGCGUGUAUCAUCAUGGCGACGGCGAAAGCUUGGUCGGAUACAGCGACUCUGACCACGCUGGUGACGUGGACUCCAGGAAGAGCACCUCGGGCAUACUAUUCCUUCUCGGAAAUAGUCCCAUCAGCUGGCAAUCGGUGAGGCAGAAGGUUGUCGCUGUAUCUUCGUGCGAGGCGGAGUACAUCGCGGCAGCUACAGCGGCCUGUCAAGGCAUUUGGCUUGCUCGCCUUCUCGGCGAGAUGCUGAAUCAGGACACCGGCCCUGCGCUCAUCUUCGUUGAUAACAAGUCAGCGAUUUCCCUCUGCAAGAAUCCAGUGCUACACGACCGCAGCAAGCACAUCGAUCUCCGCUAUCACUUCAUACGUGACUGCGUCGAGAAAGGCACGGUGAACGUGGAGUUCAUCAGGACCGGUGAGCAGAAGGCGGACAUCCUGACCAAGUCACUUGGUCGUGUCCGGUUUCAGGAGUUGCGUGAUAAGGUUGGGAUCAUCGACACCAAGCUCCUUCGACAA